rnacentral:tRNA from 1 species
GGCGGCGUAGACGAAUUGGUUUAGUCAGCAGAUUCAAAAUCUGUGCCAUUUUAUGGAUGCGAGUUCGAGUCUCGCCGCCGCCA